rnacentral:misc_RNA from 1 species
GAUGAAGAACGUAGCGAAAUGCGAUAAGUAGUGUGAAUUGCAGAAUUCAGUGAAUCAUCGAAUCUUUGAACGCACAUUGCGCCCCCUGGUAUUCCGGGGGGCAUGCCUGUUCGAGCGUCAUUUCACCACUCAAGCCUCGCUUGGUAUUGGGCAUCGCGGUCCGCCGCGUGCCUCAAAUCGACCGGCUGGGUCUUCUGUCCCCUAAGCGUUGUGGAAACUAUUCGCUAAAGGGUGUUCGGGAGGCUACGCCGUAAAACAACCCCAUUUCUAAGGUUGACCUCGGAUCAGGUAGGGAUACCCGCUGAACUUAAGCAUAUCAAUAAGUGGAGGA